UGGUUCUGGCAUCGAUGAAGAACGCAGCAAAAUGCGAUAAGUAAUGUGAAUUGCAGAAUUCAGUGAAUCAUCGAAUCUUUGAACGCACAUUGCGCCCGCCAGUAUUCUGGCGGGCAUGCCUGUUCGAGCGUCAUUUCAACCCUCAAGCACAGCUUGGUGUUGGGAUUCGUGGAGCAAUCCACGGUCCCCAAAUCUAUUGGCGGUCACGUCGAGCUUCCAUAGCGUAGUAAUUACACCUCGUUACUGGUAAUCGUCGCGGCCACGCCGUUAAACCCCAACUUCUGAAUGUUGACCUCGGAUCAGGUAGGAAUACCCGCUGA
rnacentral:misc_RNA from 1 species